rnacentral:rRNA from 1 species
GAUGAACGCUAGCUACAGGCUUAACACAUGCAAGUCGAGGGGGCAGCGCAGUGUAGCAAUACACGGGCGGCGACCGGCGCACGGGUGCGUAACGCGUAUCCAACCUUCCCGUUACUCAGGGAUAGCCUUCCGAAAGGGAGAUUAAUACCUGAUGGUGUUUGAAUUCCGCAUGUUAUUCAAACUAAAGAUUUAUCGGUAACGGAUGGGGAUGCGUGACAUUAGAUAGUAGGCGGGGUAACGGCCCACCUAGUCUACGAUGUCUAGGGGUUCUGAGAGGAAGGUCCCCCACACUGGAACUGAGACACGGUCCAGACUCCUACGGGAGGCAGCAGUGAGGAAUAUUGGUCAAUGGUCUGACGACUGAACCAGCCAUGCCGCGUGAAGGUCACGGCCCUAUGGGUCUUAAACUUCUUUUGCAAGGGAGCAAUAAGUCUCACGUGUGGGAGCUUGUAUGUACCGUAUGAAUAAGCAUCGGCUAACUCCGUGCCAGCAGCCG